CAGCAGCCGCGGUAAAACGGAGGGGGCUAGCGUUGUUCGGAAUUACUGGGCGUAAAGCGCACGUAGGCGGCUUGGUAAGUUAGAGGUGAAAGCCCAGGGCUCAACCCUGGAAUUGCCUUUAAGACUGCCGAGCUAGUAGGUGAGAGAGGUGAGUGGAAUUCCGAGUGUAGAGGUGAAAUUCGUAGAUAUUCGGAAGAACACCAGUGGCGAAGGCGGCUCACUGGCUCAUUCUAGACGCUGAGGUGCGAAAGCGUGGGGAGCAAACAGGAUUAGAUACCCCCGUAGUCCCUGUCUCUUAUAC
rnacentral:rRNA from 1 species